UACGAAGGGGGCUAGCGUUGCUCGGAAUCACUGGGCGUAAAGCGCACGUAGGCGGAUCUUUAAGUCAGGGGUGAAAUCCUGGAGCUCAACUCCAGAACUGCCUUUGAUACUGGGGAUCUCGAGUCCGGAAGAGGUGAGUGGAACUCCGAGUGUAGAGGUGAAAUGCGCAGAUAUCAGGAGGAACACCAAUGGCGAAGGCAGCACUCUGGGACGGUACUGACGCUGAGACGCGAAAGCGUGGGGAGCAAACAGG
rnacentral:rRNA from 1 species